GAUGAACGCUGGCGGCGUGCCUAACACAUGCAAGUCGAACGGAGAGUCCGGACGGAUGUUUUCGGAUGGAAGCCGGUAAUUCUUAGUGGCGGACGGGGGAGUAACGCGUGGGCAACCUGCCCUAUACAGGGGGAUAGCAGCUGGAAACGGCUGGUAAGACCGCCUAAGUGGGUUAAAACGCAUGAAUUGAUUGGGAAAUGCGCAAACAGGGAUAGGUUGGGCCCGCGCCAGAUUAGACAGUAGGGAGGGUAAAAGCCUACCAAAGCGACGAGCGCUACACUGACUGAGAGGUCGGGCGCACACAUUUGGAGUGAGCCGCGGCCCGGACUCCUACGCGAUGCGGCAGUGGGUGAUAUUGCACAAUGGAGGAAGCUCUGAUGCUGCUCCGAUGGGUGAGUGAAGUAGUAUUGCGGUAUGUAAAGCGCUAUCAGCAGGGAAGAUGAUGACGGUACCUGACUAAGAAGCCCCGGCUAACUACGUG
rnacentral:rRNA from 1 species